rnacentral:tRNA from 1 species
UUGGUAGCUCAGUAGGUAGAGCAGAGGACUGAAAAUCCUCGUGUCGGCGGUUCAAUUCCGUCCCGAG